GAUGAACGCUGGCGGCGUGCCUAAUACAUGCAAGUCGAGCGAACAGAUAAGGAGCUUGCUCCUUUGACGUUAGCGGCGGACGGGUGAGUAACACGUGGGUAACCUACCUAUAAGACUGGGAUAACUUCGGGAAACCGGAGCUAAUACCGGAUAACAUUUGGAACCGCAUGGUUCUAAAGUGAAAGAUGGUUUUGCUAUCACUCAUAGAUGGACCCGCGCCGUAUUAGCUAGUUGGUAAGGUAACGGCUUACCAAGGCAACGAUACGUAGCCGACCUGAGAGGGUGAUCGGCCACACUGGAACUGAGACACGGUCCAGACUCCUACGGGAGGCAGCAGUAGGGAAUCUUCCGCAAUGGGCGAAAGCCUGACGGAGCAACGCCGCGUGAGUGAUGAAGGGUUUCGGCUCGUAAAACUCUGUUAUUAGGGAAGAACAAAUGUGUAAGUAACUGUGCACGUCUUGACGGUACCUAAUCAGAAAGCCACGGCUAACUACGUG
rnacentral:rRNA from 1 species